rnacentral:rRNA from 1 species
CGAUGCAACGCGAAGAACCUUACCAGGUCUUGACAUCCCCUGACAACCCAAGAGAUUGGCGUUCCCCUUCGGGGGACAGGGUGACAGGUGGUGCAUGGUUGUCGUCAGCUCGUGUCGUGAGAUGUUGGGUUAAGUCCCGCAACGAGCGCAACCCUCGCCUCUAGUUGCCAGCAUUCGGUUGGGCACUCUAGAGGGACUGCCGGCGACAAGUCGGAGGAAGUGGGGAUGACGUCAAAUCAUCAUGCCCCUUAUGACCUGGGCUACACACGUGCUACAAUGGGCGGUACAAAGGGCUGCGAACCCGCGAGGGGGAGCGAAUCCCAAAAAGCCGCUCUCAGUUCGGAUUGCAGGCUGCAACUCGCCUGCAUGAAGCCGGAAUCGCUAGUAAUCGCGGAUCAGCAUGCCGCGGUGAAUACGUUCCCGGGCCUU